GGAAGCUUGGGUUGAUCAUGGCUGCAGGGUGAGCAUGGGGAAGAACUUUCUGUUGACCGUUACCAUCGUCGUCAUCAUUACUAACAUCUUUCACUGAUGUCUCUGAGGUACCUUUUGCACUGCUUACAACAUGCAUCACUCAAAAGACACAGGAGGUGACAGUGAAGCCUGGAGAGGACGCCACUCUUCCCUGUCGGGGUCACAGAGGUGCUGACAUAGUAGUGAUAAAGUGGAUCAGACCUGACCCGAAGUCAGGUGAUGGUUUUGUCUUCUUCUUCAGAGACGGCCGCUCAUAUGAAAACUACCAGCAUGAAUCUUUUUGUGGUCGAGUGGAGCUGAGAGAUCCAGAGAUGAAGGACGGAGACGCUUCUGUGAUUCUGAAGAACGUCAACAUCAACGACACUGGAACAUAUGAGUGUCGGAUUAGAGAGGAAAAUGUAUCUGUACUCACCGGCAUCGUCAGGCUGACAGUGACAGAGCCAGGUCACACAGCUGGACACAAGGAGGAAGGAGACAAGGAGGGAGGAGGCAAGGAGGGAGGAAACAAGGAGGGAAAUGUUGGACUGAGAGUCGGUCUGCCAGUUUGUGUGAUUCUUCUUCUUCUUCUUGGUGUUGGUGGUUUUGUGAUCUUUAAAAAAUAUAACAGACCCAAAGGGAAUCAACAACCUGCUAUAAACAGACAUGAACUGCAGAACCUGCAGUGAGAUUAAGAGACCAGAGGCAGCAGAUGAGAAUUAGUGAGGAUCCAGACUGAAGUCACUCUGGUUACUGUGGGGAGCAGUGAUUGGUCGUUACUCUCUGGCUGCUGAUUGGUGGACUGAACGUGCUGCUGGACAGAAGAAACACAUUCCUCCUGUAAAAUAAACCUGAGCUGUUGACACACGUCUGAUUUCACCUGGAGGCAGGUUAAUGCCAGAUGGGCUGACUGACCAGCUGCUCUGUGGGACAAACAAUAUGACCUGAUGCUGGAACAGCCAGCUGAUUGUUAAUUACAGGAAGUGGUACAGACCGUCGGCACCUCCCCCCACCCCUUCAAGUGGAUCCAUCCAUCCAGGUAGAGUCAGAGGUCAAAUCAAAUUAAACGGGUAAAAGACCGAGAGAGAGAAAAAGCUCCAAAUGUUUUAAAUCAACAGUUACUGAUGUCAGUGCCGCUCAACAUCCUGCUAGCUGCAGUUAUAACACUAACAGUCUGUUCUGGAUGACGGAGCUGGACUUUGUUCCCAGUCCGACCCUGAAGAGCUCAGUCCCUGUUGUUCACUCACCGACCUGCAUCAGAGGGGAAAAGAUCCUGUUUGGAUUCACUGCAGCUCUGUUUUCCUGCAUGAGGACAUUUUUCAUCGUCUUCUCUGAGAGCUGCUCAGGAACUCUGACUGUGAAAUGUUCUUAGACAACGAUACAGAUAAUUAAUACUUCAAGUACAUUUUCCUGAUUGUUCUCUUUCUCUUGGACUUUUACUUCAGUAACAUUUUCAAUGCAGGACUUGUAUUUAUUUAGUAGUGUGUUAUGGGUACUUUUACUUUAGUUUCUGUAUACUUGAUCCACAACUGCUUUUCUCAGUCUGUAACAAAAGGAAACAAAUGAUCUUGGUUAUUUCUCCUGUAACCAACUUUCUGAUGCUGAACUGAUCUCUGCUGCAGAGACAUGAGGCUGUGAUGUGUCUGUUUCUGGCAGCGUCCACUGUUGGCAGAUAUUUCUGUAUCUUUGACUUUAAACACAAUAUAAAACUAAAGUCAAAAUGUUACUUGAGUCAGAGUACAGAUCCAUGAUGUUGGUAAAACUGUAUCUAUGUGUUGAAUGUAGGUAUGUAGAAUCUUAAUCCACAGAGUACGUGCAUGUUUUUAUUUCACACAAUCAGAGCUGUUGAUCCUGUUAAUGUUGCUUGGAGCUGGAAUCAAAAGCAGCUCAACCAAAACCCUCCUGAGCUUCCAGGCAGCCGUCCGGCUAUCAGGUUACAGACAGCGAGCGUUAUGUCCUCAUUUUAAAACCAUGAAGCUGACAGUCCAGUCUGACUCUUUAUUUACAUUCUAACAGACUUUAAAUCAGUUAUUUGUUGACCUUUGAGCAGCUUCCUGCCUUUAGAGCAGACGUGACCAAAAGUCAGUAAAGUCAAUAAAACAGGAUUAUGAACUUUCUUUAACUGUAACUUUGUAGCUGAGAACUGAAAGUGAACUCUGAAGGCUCUAAAUGUCUGGACCUGUUUGUAAACAGAUAAUAACAUGGAGGAACUUUUAGAGGGCAGAGUUUGCUAUGAAGCAGCUCUGAGCUCAUUUUGUCUUCACCCCCCCCCCUCUUAGUCAGGAUGUGAGAUCAGUUCUUCCUCAUUACUGUUGGCUGGUAGAAACUGACUGCUGCUCUUUUAUUCAGGGUUUAAUGUUCUCCAGUGCUGUGCCGGCGUUUUAUAUUCGACAAUAUGUAAUUAUAAUAAUAAUAAUAAUAAAUGUAAUAUAAUAAUAUAAUAAUAAACAGUGAUAAGAGUGUGCAUUGCAAAGUUUUUAGGCAAAAUGAACUUAAAUGAACUUAUCACACGCCUCUGGAGCAACUAGAGGUUAAGUGUCCUGCUCAGGGACACAUUGGUGGAUGUGUCACAGUGGGGGAUUGAACAUUAAAGGCAUGUGUCUUAUCCACUGCUCCACCACCACCCAGUACAGCAGCUGUUAACACGGAGGCUUUUCUUCCUCUGAUGAUCAGUCAGAGCUCAGUCUCUACACAGCAGCUGCAUGUGAACUCCUCCGUCACUGUAAACUGUCUGUGGUAAAUAUUUUAGUUUGUGUUCUUGAUUUUUUUCUCACAUACGCAGUGAACAGACACCACAGGGAGGACGAUCCUGUAAGAUACAGUUAGACUUUUAACUGGAAAGAAACUCUCCCAUCCUGUUCCUGUUAAUGUGCAGUCAUAGUCUGGAGCUUUUCUUCUUUGUCUUUAGAGACAUUUUCUUCAGACUUUUAUACAAAUACUGCACCUCAUGAAAUGAGCCAUUAAACUACAUUUUCAAAACUAGAAAGACCUCUCUAUGUCUCCUCAAGUAAAGUCAUCACAUCAGCUGAGAACGAUAAAGAAAUAAACCCUAUCACUGGUGCUUUUCACUCUGCUGGCUUUGACUCUGUUUUGCUGUUGCUCUCAUCUCUGCUGUCUCAUGUUCACCAUGUCAGAGCUGGUACUGGGGCCGCCGAGCUCCAUUUGACAAACCUAUUCAAAUAAAAGCAUUAAAGUACUUUAAGUACCCAAAUGUCCACUGCUGGUCACUUCCUGUCAGCACAACUCCAUCUCUUAGGGAACUUCCACCCCUACUAACCACACUAGCUCCACCUUAUAGCUCCCCCAGCGGUGACUUGCUAAGAGAUGAUGCAAUACCUGCAUUACAUUUAAAUAAACUUGUUCUUACUGCCA